rnacentral:rRNA from 1 species
UACGAAGGGGGCUAGCGUUGUUCGGAAUUACUGGGCGUAAAGCGCGUGUAGGCGGGUCUUUAAGUCAGGGGGGAAAUGCCAAGGCUCAACCUUGGAACUGCCUUUGAUACUGGAGACCUUGAGUCCGGGAGAGGUGAGUGGAAUUGCGAGUGUAGAGGUGAAAUUCGUAGAUAUUCGCAAGAACACCAGUGGCGAAGGCGGCUCACUGGCCCGGAACUGACGCUGAGAUGCGAAAGCGUGGGGAGCAACAGG